CCAAGAUGUUUCUGCUCUUGCUCUCGGCGGCCUUGCUGGCUCUGAGCUCAGCUCAGGAUAUUGGCAAUGGUACUGAUCAUGAAAACUUUCCAGAACACCCUCAAAAUGAAGAGGAAGAACCCCAAAUAAUAGAAGAUCAUAAACCAGUUGAAGAAUCCUCAGAGGACUCACAAGUCAAUUCUCAGGAAGAAGACAGAGAUCAGCAUGGCAAAACGGGCAAACAUGAAAAAAAUGGCCAAAAAGGCCAUGGUCGGCAGGGUGAACCUCACAGCCAAAAUGUCCAGGAAAGCCAGGAAAACUCACACAGCAGAGGUGGGGAAGGUGGCCAGAGUGGCCCUGGUAGCCAGAGAAGACAGCGUGAAAGAGGCGGCCAGCGUGGUCAGCGUGGUGGCCAAUGACCAGGA